UAUUCCUGACAGCCUUGCCCAAUGGCUUUGGAUGCUGGCUUGAGGUCUUGAAGUCUUGGCUUUCAGAAAUAGUCAUGCAGAAAGGAGACUGUCAGAGGCAGAACACCUGCAGGCAGGCUGAGCAAUUGUGGUGAUGGACUAUCAGGGUUAGAAUGUGAAAUGAAAGGAUUUGAUGGUGAGCUUGCUCUUCUCAUUUCUACAGAGAUAUAAAGACAGAAGUAGAAGGCUCAGAAUUAAUGCCCUUAAUUCAGUUAAGGGCAGAGAGCCAGAGAUCUGUUCUGAAUGGCUGAAAAAGGAAAACUAACUUAAAGAACUUGAGAUCUGCUAAGACCCAAAUCAGACACAGAGAUCAAUUCCAUAUAGUCAGUUGAAUCCAUGCUUUUUCUGACAAACAAUAGUUUUACUAUGUUUAGAUGUUCUCUGCUCUUAAUGACCUCUUUUUUUAUGAUGCCAUUAGUUUAGUUGAUCAGGAGGAUGGAUAGCCUCUACCAGUUAACUUCCCAUGGCUGUGACAAAAUACUUAACCAACACAACUUGAAAGAUGAAAAAUUGCUAUUGGCUUAUGACUUGAUAGGUUUUCGCUAUGGUCAUUUGGAUGGGUUGUUCCAAGUCUGUGGCAAAGCUGUUCAUUAUGGCAGGAGUACAGGAAAGCUGCUCACUUGGCCGUGGCCAGGAAACAAGGAAAAUGAGGGCAAGGAGCUGGGUCCUGUCUUAGUUAUUUCUCUAUUGCUGAGAUAAGACAUUAUGGCUAAGGACACCUAUAAAAGAAAGAGUUGAAUUUGGGCUUACAGUUUCAGGGGGUUAAUUAGAGUCCAUAAUGGAGAAACAAAGGCAUGGUGGUAGUAACAGCAGAAAUUUUACACCAUGAUCUGUAAGUAAGAGUGAGAGAGACACUGGGAAUAAAGGUCUUUUUGAAACCUCAAAUCCCACCACCAGUGACACACCUCCUCCAACAAGGCCAUACCUCCUAAUCCUUCCCAAACAGUUCUAUUCACUGGCAAUCACAUAUUUAAACAGAGGAGCUUUUGGAGGACAUUCUCAUUCAAACCCCCAGUCUUAAUAGUCUUUUCAAGGGCACAUUUCCAAAUUACCUACUUCCUCUACCUAGGCCCCACCUCUAAAAAGUUCUGCCACCUUCCAAGUACACAGUCAUCUAUGAGCAAGUCUUGAACAUGCAGGUUUUCAUGAGACACUUAUGAUCUAUAACAUCCUUUUGGGCUGGUUGUUUUAUUAAAAUGGAAUCUAAAUUUUAGUGUGCAUAAAACAAAUGAUGUUUUAUUUUUGUUCAAUAUCUCAAAUGCUUAGAACUUUUCUUAUACAUAAUAAGUACUCAUGAAAAAAAGAUGUAGUGAGAGCAAGGCAGAGACAGAGAAGAGGUGAGGAGCAGCUAACAUCUAGAAAACAAAUUAUUACAAAAUCCAGUGUAUGAUUAACCCUUGUACUAAGACAGGAGUGACAAGAUGGUUAUAUUGGUUACCUUUUUGUUGACAAAAAAUCCUUCUUUUCUCAGAUUCUCAUGGUUUUUAUCAUGAAGUAUUGGACUUUGUUAGAGGCCUUUCCUACUUCCAUUGAGAUGAUCAUAUGAUUUUUAUUGUUUUUCCUAUGUUGGAUCACACUUUCAUUCCUAGAAUAAAGCCCAUCUAGUCAUUCUGAGUUAACUUUGUAUGUGUAGUUAACUUGGUGUGGUAGUUUGAAAGAAAAUGACCACCCCCAAAGGGAGUGACAUUAUUAGGAGGUAUGGCCUUAUUGGAGGAAGUGGGUCACUGUGGGGGUGAGCUUUGAGGUCUCCUAUGCUCAACCUAUUCCCAGUGUCACAGUUCACUUCCUGUUGCCUGUGGAUCAAAAUGUGGAAUUCUCAUCUUCUACAGCACCAUGUCUGCCUGCAUGCUGUAGGAUGCAGCAUGAUGAUAAUGGACUAACCCUCUGAAACUGUAAGCCACCCCAAUUAAAUGUUUUCCUUUAUAAGAGUUGCCAUGAUCAUGGUAUCUCUUCACAGCAGUAGAAAGCCUAACUAUGAUACUUUGGUUUGAGAGUAUUUUAUUAAGAAAUUUUUAGCCUAUGUUAAUAAGAAAGAUAAUCAGAUAAUUUUCUUUGUAAGGGUAUGUGCCCAUGUCUGGCUUUGUAAUACUUCCUUCAUAAAAAGAGUUUUGUAGCUAUCAUUCUUGGUUCUCUGUUGCUGUGAUAGAACACUGACCAACAGCAAGUUUGGGGCAUAAUUUUACUUUACACCUCCUCCAGGUAACAGUCCUUUACUGAGAGAAGUCAGGGCAGGAACUCAAGACAGAAAGCUGGAAACAGAAACCUUGAAGCAAUGCUACUUACUGGCUUGUUCACUUGCUCACUCAGCUAGCAUUCUCAUGUAGACCAGGCCCACCUGUCUAGGGAUGGUGUUGCCUACAGUAGACUGGGCCCUCCCAUAUUAUCACCUAUCAAGUCAGUCCUUCACAGACAUGGUCACAAGACAAUCUGACCUGGACAAUCCAUUAACAGAGACUCACUCAGAUGACUCUAGACUGUGUCUAGUUGACAGCUGAAGCUAACUAUGACUAUGACAGUAGCUUUCUUUCCUUUUCUGUUUUAGAUAAUUGUUUGGGAAAUAUUGGUAUUUGUUAUUCUUUUAAGGUAGGCAGAAUUCAGCAGUGAAUUCUUCAAGAUCUGAUCUUUCUUGUUUGAUUGAUUAGAAGACUUUAUUAUUGCUUUAAUGUCACUGUUUGAUAUUAGACUAUCAGGACAUUAACAAUUAUAGUUAUCAUUGAAUGGGUAUUAUUAAUUCUAUUUAUUUCUUUAGUUUUGUACUAUUCAGCACUUCCCCAAUUCUCACUGCAUAUUUAUAUUUAUAUUGAGGUUCAUUCUUUCCUGAGCCCAGGGUGUGUUUAUCUUUUUCUCAGUGUUUAGGGUCAUUUAAGCAUCUUCUACAAUGCCUGCUUAGUGGGAAUGAAUUUCUUUAGCUUGUACUUAUCAUUUCUCAGGUCAAUUAUGAAGAACAGUUUUGCUGUACAUAGUAAUCUAAGUUGACAACUAAUUUCCUUCCAGGGAUUGAAAUGCAUAAUCUCACCUCUUGGACUUGAGAGCUUGCCUUAAGAAACCCGUUUUUCUGAUAGGUUUGUCAUUGUAUGAGACUUCGUGUUUCUCUCUUACAACUUCAAUUUUACUCCCUUUUUUUUUUAACCACAGUAUGAAAUAUGGAGGUUUUUUUUUUCUUUUCUUUUCUGUCUUGAAUGUUUGAUGUUCUAAAUGCUUGGCAUCCAACAGUCAUCUCUUUCUCUAGUUUUGGGACUAUUUUCUGUGAAUUUCUUGAAUAUAGAUUUUGUGCCUUUAGCUUCUCUUUUUAUGACCACAGUGGAAAGAUUUGAUAGUUUUGUGUGUCCCACAAACUUCAUACGUUCUGUUCAUACGUUCUUAGUACUUGUCAUUGUCUGAAACUUCUGAUACUUUAGGUUGUCAUCAGGUCCAAUAGUCUGUCUCCUACUGAUCCUUUCUACCAGAGACAUUCCACUGGGUUUUCAUUUGUCUAGUUCAGCUUUUUGUUUCCAAACUUUCAUUUGAGUUUUUAAAUGCAUUUAUAUCUCUUUAUUGAAUUCAAAUUUAUUCAGAUCUUUUAUUGACUUAUUUCCCUCAGAUCAUUGAAUUCAUUUAUAACUUCUGUGUCCUUUUUAAAAUUGUCAUUGAACAUUUUAUAAUCAAUCUUUUAAAUUUCCUGUCAGGUAUUUCAUUCAAUUACCAUUCUUUGGAGUCCUUUACUGUGGAUUUAGUCAUUUUCAGAGGAGUCAAAUUCCUUUAAAUCUUCAUAUUUCUUGUGUUUUUGCUUCAGUACUUGAACAUCUGGGAUUAACUUGUUGAUUGAAUUUCAGAGGAAGUAAUUGCAGUGCUCAGAUGGGAUUAUUUGCAGUAGCUAUCCCUAAACCUUCUUCAAAAAAUCAUUUUUUUCCAAAACAUAAAAUUAUUGUACAAGUGAACAUACAUGGUUAAAAUGUCAUGUAAAUUAUCACUAGUCUGGUAACAUACUAUUUACAAGUUAAGUUAUAAUCCAUUAGUGGUCAGUAAGUUUACUGUGUUAUGCCUAGUAUUUUCAAAGUAAAUGAAAUAUGAUUUAAAAGUAUGACAAAGUUAAUGUGAAUCAUGCAUCUGAAGUAUAAAUAUUAUUUAAUAGACUGAUUUUUCAGAAGUGCAAAUGUGUAUACUAGAGUACUCUCUAAACAUACUCCCUAAUAUGGCCAGAAUUUUCAAAUAAAAAAAAAUAAAAACUUUUAUUUUGAUGUCUAGACAGCAGACUCCACAUUUUAACUUUAGUUGUUCCUUAUUAAUAACAUGAAGAUAACUAUAAGCCAAAAAGGGAAAGGUAGCGUCCUUUGUGUAGCACUUUCACAGAAUAUCCAGAAAAAAAAAAUAGUAGUUUGGAUAGGAGAGACAGCACAGUUUAUAAAGUGCUUGAGUUUGAUUUUCCGAAGCCAUGUAAACAAGAAAAGAAGAGCUAAGUGUGAUGACAUGCACUUAUUCCAGUGUUGGGGAGGCAGAGAUAGGCAAGAUAGGCAGACCCAUAGGGCUUUCCACCCAGCCAGCCUCAUCCACUCUGUAAGUUCUGGUUCAUGGCAAGCCCAGCUCAAAAAAAAAAGUUGUCAGCAUUUGAUGAAUGAGAAUGACACAUGAACUUGUCUUUGGGCCUCCAAGGACAUAUACACACACAUAUGUAUUUGCACCAAUUUGCAUCUGUACAUAUAAACAUGCAUACACACACGUACAAGAAUUGGUAUCAUAAUAAUGCGCAAAUUAGCAUAAUUAGAGUGAGUUGUUUAUUGGUCUCUUACACUAGCUUGCUGAUCUCUUGAAUAUAAUUAAGUAAGUUCUACAAAGCACUCUACAGAAUAUUAAUAAAAACAUUAACAGAAUGAUUUCUGCUACGGGAAAAGAUAGCCUUAUGUCUAUUUUUAACUCUGGCUAUGACUUGAACACAUCUACUCAAGUUUUGAGGGCUGCUAAUCAGAUAGCAUGAAGGGGGGCUUCAAAGAUAAAGGAGGACAUCCCCCUUGUAGGUAAGGCUGUGUGGCUUGCCCGGCUUCCAACGAGCUCUCUCUUGUCCAUCCUGCUCCUGCCAGCAUGCAGCAAGUAAGCCUUUAUUAGGCACCAGAUGUCACUUUGCUUCCAGGGCUUUGAGGGGAAAAAAAUCCUCAUGUUUGUGAGUUACCCACUCUGUGGGAUUCUAUUAUGGAACAUAAAAUGGAUUAAGACAACCUCAAAGUCAAGGCCACUGACAUGUCCAUAUGCAUUUCAACGUGCUUACUGGUUAGUUUUGGAAAGAAAAAAAAAGCUGAAGAUAGACUUUAUGAUGAGAAUAAAUUUCAUGUGCUUGAAAAGGGUAUCUGAGUGAAGUGUCUUCUCAUGGCUUAGCUGGAUAGCUGUUGAGCCUUACUUGCAGGAUCCGCUUGGGCACCAAGUCCAAUAACUUGUUAGAUUUUCUUUCUUUUGGCAGUAGAGAAAAGAAUUUUUACCUUUCAAAAUUAUAGUGUGCAUAAAAAAAUACUGAUGAAUAUUUGGGAGGAAAGUUAUACAGGCCAUUAAGAAUACAAGAGCAAAUAAAAUUAGCAAUAAAGAAAGAUAAAUAGGAAAACAUUGGUUCCAGAAAAAUAAACACAUGGUAUCAUCUUUGAUCCACUUUGUUAUUAGCUGGAAUUAAAGAACUGUGGUUGGCAAGUCUGUUUUGAAUACUGGCUUUUGGGAAAAGUCUUAAGAAUCGUUGCUUGCUUAAGGUCUUCUGACGAUGUUGAACAGGGUCUAGGCAUCAGAGGCUAGAGCUUGCCAUGGUGCUAACAUCAGCAGUACCUGCUGCUCUCUAUCAAGGCUGGAGGGCAGUGUUCCUCCAGCAGCUGAGAUCUUUGGACUGAGUCUUGGUGUCUGCACCGUAGGAUGUGGUGAUGAGAAUGUUCAUAUGUUCUAAGACUGCAUAUGUGCUUGAAUUCAUUACAGUGCUUGAUCCUAUCAACUUGCAUGGGGAAUUGAAGGUGAAAUCCUUAAGUACUUGGAGUUACCCACUAUUUAUAAGAUGGAAGCUGAUGAGUCCAGGUGAUUAUAUUGUUAAAAUCAUGACAUAACCAGCUUCCGGGGACUGGAAGCAUUACUCAUUCCAGUCUUAAAGUUUCAUCAAUUUUUUUCACUUUUAAUGAAGAUGGCAGAUAAAAUUUUUGUUAGUAAAAGCCUUUGAAAGGGGCUUUGAAAAUUUACCAGUAAGAGUUGCUGUGAAAUUUGUGUCCUGCCAUAGUGAGGUAUGUGUUCAAUUUCCCCAUACCAGGGACAAAAUAAACAAGACAACAACAAUCAAACAUUUUUUCCACUACCACAAGAGCCCUUUUUCUUAGCAAGAAAAUGUCUCAUUUAAUCCUGAGUAAACAAUGGCAAAAUAUAUUUAUUGUCCAAUUUUAGGGCAGCAAGGGUUGGAAGUGUCUAAAAGGACUUUGCAAUUUGAUGGUUUCCAUUCCCCUCUUUACAGUUUUGCCAGGAUUGUGCUGUUGGCAAGUGUAUCCUGGACAUGACCUUAGCAGUCCUCUUUGAGAUAGAUACAUAGCCAGUGAUGUUUCAACAGCAUGUUCCACUUAAGAAUGUGCCUGUGGAUAGCACACUGAAGCGUUUUGCUAACCCCAGAUUAGUUGGUCCAUGUACCAGUUCAUGAAGAGCACAGUUAUUUUUAAGUAAUGUAUUUUCUGAAUGCCCCCAUGGGUUUCUAUUUGUUUGUUUUUAAUGAGCGUGCGUGCGUGCGUGCGUGCGUGCGUGUGUGUGUGUGUGUGUGUGUGUGUGUGUCUGUGUGUGUGUGUGUGUGUCUGUGUGUGUGUGUGCCUGUGUGUGAGAGUUUGGAGGACAGAGGCCACAUCGGAAGUCUUCCCUUUAUCACGGUUUGUGGUAACAUAUUGUGCACCCCAAUAAAGCUUACCUGGGGAUCAGAAGACAGAGCCAGCCACUAAAUUAGACACAGAGGUCAGAGAGUGAUGGCACACACCCUUAAUCCUAUCACUCGGGAGGCAGAGAUCCAUCCAGAUCUCUGUGAGUUCAAGGCCACACUGGAAACAGAGCCAGGCAGUGGUGGCAUACACCUUUAAUCCUAGUACUUGGAAGCACACACACCUUUCAUCCCAGGAAGUGACGGAAGGGCAGAGAAAGGUAUGUAAAGCAUGAGGAAACAGGAACUCCAUCUCUUGCGGCUGAGGAUUUCAAAGAGGUAAGCUAGUGGCUGACUAUUCUGCUUCUCUGAUCUUUCAGCUUUCACCCCAAUAUCUGGCUCUGGGUUUUUGUUAUAAGGUUCGUGUUACAACUGUCCACCUUGUUCCUUUUAAACAGAGUCUCACUGAACCUGGAUCUCACUGUUUCAGCUAUACUGGCUGAUCAGCAAGCCCCAGGACCCACUUGUUCCUGCCCUUCCUCAUGACCCCCACACCCUCCCCAGUGCUGGUGUGACAGCCACACACCACUGCCCCCAACUAAUUAUUUUAUGUAGGUACUGGACAUCAGACUUCAGGUCUUCUCUCUCUGAGUCACCUCCCCAGUUCCUCCUGUUUUUUGUUUGUUUGUUUUUCUCAUGUAUUAAGGCCUAUCUCUGGCUACUAAUGAUAUCAUUUUUUAAAAAAAAUCUCUCCAAGGAUCUUCCUCUUGAAGUGCUAUGAGUGCAAUCAUUUCAGGGGAUGCCGCUUGACUAGCAUGGCAACAGUGAGAUCAUUAUGCUGGAAUUUGGGAUCAUUAGACUUUAAAUGAGGCUCCACUGUUAUGGUGUAAAGUUUAAUUUGUUUCCAUCUUUCAAGCAAGUUUCUGUCGAGAUCAGGAUGUGCAUUUGAUUGUAAAGCAUUAGCAAGGCAGGGGCCAGCCAACAAACACACUUGCUGUCUGCACAGACUGUUCGCAGCUUCACCCUUGUUACUUGGUGGUUUCAGCAGGGAUUAAUUUAGUGAUAAUUUUGGCUGGUUUUAGUUUUGGUUGAAGUUCAUAUUCUAAAAGCAAAUUCAGAUCAGUGAUUGAAAUAAAUAUAACCUGCUUAAUAUUUUGAUGUCCUAUCCUGUGUGUGUGUGUGUGUGUGUGUGUGUGUUGUGUGUAUGUGCUUUAUGUGUAUGUGUGCACAUGCCUUUGCCUGGGCAGGCUUAUUUAGAAGUGGAGGUUAAUGUCUGUUGUCUUCCUAAAUUGCUUUUUCUACCAUUUUUUUUUCUUGGAGACAGGGUCUCUCACUGAACCUAAAACUUUCCAUUUUGCCUAGAUUGGCUGGACAUCAAGUCCUCAGGAUCUGCCUGUCUCUGCCUUAAUCCCCAAGAUGUAGGUGCACACUUCCAUAUUAAGCUCUUAUGUAAGUGCCGAGUAUCAAACUCAGGUCCUCAAGCUUGUGCAGCAAGGACUUGGCCCACUGAGCCAUGUCCGCAACCCUAUAUUUCUAAUUCUUAGGCACAAACAAAAUUAAAUCAGAAUUGUCAAAGGAAGAAGUUUCAAAGGGCAUUUUUUUUUUUUUUUUGCAGAGCUCAAUUAAGAGAUUGCUUUCCUUUCUUGGGUAGAGAAAGGAGAGUUCUAGAAUAUUAGCAAUGGGUAGAUGAAAUAUUUGAAAAUACCUGGGUUUUUUAUUAUAAAACAUUUUAAGAUUCAUGUUACAACUGUCCAUCUUGUUCCUUUUAAACAGUCUCACUGAACCUGGAUCUCACUGUUUCAGCUAUAGUGGCUGAUCGGCAAGCCCCAGGACCCACCUGUUCCUGUCCUUCCUCAUGUCCCCCAUGCCCUGCCCAGUUGCCCCCAACUACUUUUUGUGUGGGUACUGGACAUCAGACUUCAGGUCUUCACUCUCUGAGUCACCUCCCCAGUUCCUCCUCCUGAACCCAGAUAUUCAGCAGGAAAUAGGGUAUUGCCCUAUUAGAGCUCACAGUCCACCUGUGAUGGGGAAUCAUAUGUGGAGACAAUAGAGUAUAUCAACUGACAGUUUUCCAAGCUCUACCACUGCAGCUUUUACAGAGGGUAGAUGAUACUGCCCAGUGGAUGGAAAUAAGCAGCAGGUUUCUCAUCCUCUGCUUGUGCUUAAAUUGUUAUCACGAUGCCUGCCCAGAAGAUUUAUAGCUAAAGAACCACAAUUGUAGCUGAAAGUUUUCCUGUGUCCCACCUGGUCCACAGUCCCGUAGCUGCUCCAUCCCAAAUAAACACACACAGGCUAAUAUUAUUUUUAAACUAUGGCCGUGACAGGCUUCUUGUUAUCUAGUUCUUAUAUUUUAAAUUAACCCAUUUCUAUAAAUCUAUACUUUGCCAUGAGGCUUGUGGCUUAUCAGUAUCUUUACAUCUUGCUUCUCAUGGCUGCAGCUGGCAGUGUCUCCCCUGCUCUGUCUUCCUCCUUCCUCUCUCUCUCUUUAGAAUGUCCCGCCUAACCUUAUUCUGCCUCACCAUUGGCCAAACAGCCUUAUUUAUCAACCAAUCAGAGCAACACAUUUUCACAGCAAACAGAAUGACAUCACCUAUCACAAAAUGUUUGUAAUUAGCAGGUGUAUCUGAGCUUGAUGGGUCUGUUCAUAGAAUAAUGUGCUAUGUAAUUCUCUUACAAUUUUUUCAUCACUGUGACCAAAUACUUGGGAGAAAAAGAACCUGUCUAGAAAAUUCAAUAUCUAUGGUUUUACGACUUUCAAGAAAUUACUAUGUGUGGAGGGGUGAGAUUGUUUCCAUUCUGCUUUUAAAUUAAGGAGUCAUCUUGUUUCUUUCAUCAUGUGAACCCAUGUGUUUCACAACACUGCAGAUUUACAGGCAGUUUCAACAGCACUGGUCUUAUCUGUCUUACAAAUGUGGAUGGUCACAGAAGAUUUUGAAUGCAUUAAGACUGAAACAAUGGAGCAUUGCAUAAGCAUCCCAGAAGAGGCAUGUGUUAAAGAGACUAAUCACAGAAGUGUGACUUAUAUUAAGCAGAACCAAAAGAGUGGUAUUUACACUCUGUUGCAAAGAGGCAUUCUCAGUGGUAGAUGUAAUGCUUGGAUAACAAGUUAAAGGGCAGCAUUUGCCGGCUCCUGGUGCAUGAGCAGUUUUGUUAGCACACACUUUUUCUUCUUUUAUCAAGUGAUGACAUUUCUCCAUGAUUAUUUUGUGAUGUAGUCAAGGGAAGUCAUCGAAUUUGUACAGAUUUAAAGUACUUAUACUUCCCAGACUCUGCUACAUCUGUGUUUCCCAGACUCCAUCCUGGUUUAUAAUUAAGCAAAGCCAAUGCAAAAAGAAGCUUGAGGGGCAACAUCAACACAAAGGAAAGCCUUUGGAGGCUGAGGAUGUCUUUUAUCUGAAAUCACGUUUCAUUUUAAUGGAAUUUCUUCUUUUGAUCUUGCUGUCUGCACUGGUGUUAGCAACCUUGAGUUUAUUUAUGGCCUGUGUCUGUGAUGUAUUUAUGUGCCGAAGCCUGGUACGAGGGUUCCCUAAAUAUGUUCUUGCUAAGGGUCAGCCCAGAGCAGAAUUGUGAAGGAUACAGCUAGUUUCCUUGCUCCAGUCUGGUUUAGCAAUCAUUGGGCCUCCAGAAAAGAGGAGCUGUUGGAUGUGGAUUAGUGAAUUUGUCUUUCCUAGUCAUGCUCAUAAGCUGGCAUUAUGAGCAUUCAAAUGGUCCAGUAAGGAGAUGGCUGGGGUUAAAAUGUAAGGACAUAGGAUUGCAGGGUUCUUCCAAAUGGCAAUUUUGGUUUUAGCUUUAGUCCUACCACCAAGGCUGACGCUCUUACUGAUGGAUGGAAGUCAUCAACACUGCAAGGGCCUCUGCCUUCUUGAGAUUCUGACAUCUUAGAAUCUAUACCUAGUAAUUAAAUUCAGUGAUUCCAUUAAAUUUUAACACUCAUGGGAAUUUCUUAAAUGAUACGUCUCCUAAAUGGGAAGACCACAUAUCUGAGCAGUUUAAACUGUGUUGAUAGUCACAUCUCCUUUUGAUCCAUGGAAAAUGAUAAAAAGGUAUUUGUUUGCGUUUCCAAAUUCCCUUUGCUCUGUUAAAACAACACUGCAGCCAAAAGACUCUAAUGAAAGCUUUGCUGUGACAAGCCUGAACAGUGAACCAAUGGGAACGAAAAACCCAGCUAAUGAGAAAAUGGUGUAAAGGCCAGAUUUCUGCCUUCCCAGAAAGCUUUUAAUUACAGAGAAAUCAACAGAUGUGCCAGGGGUAGCACAAGAGUGCUGGCCAUGCAAAAUAACACCUUGGAGUGGAAUGAAUUUGGAGUAAAUGGACUGGAAAUAUUGGCUUUCCAAGCAAUCAACAACACAUGAGAGAGAACACAGGGCCCUUAAUUUGGGUAAGUGUACUGAUCCCAAACUUCUCUAUAGUAUCUGAACACGUGUGUGUGUGUGUGUGUGUGUGUGUGUGUGUGUGUGUGUGUGUGUCUAUGUGUCUGUGUGUGAGUAUAUGUGGGGAUGCAUGUUUGUGUGCAUGUGUAUCUGUGUGUGAGUAUAUGUGUGUGUGUGUGUGCAUGCAUGUCAGUGUGUCUGUAUGUGAAUAUGCGUGGGGAUGCAUGUGUGUUGUACUUGUGUGUGAGAGAGUUUCUAUGUGUGAUUGCAUGUGUUUCUGGGAGGGAGGCUCUGUGUGUCUAUGUUCACAGACACUUCUGAUCCUUAAUUAACUAAAAAGGAAUAUUGGCCAUGAACUCCUAGUCAUGGUUUGAGAAAUCAAGGUGAUGUCUAGUCCAGAAACUCGUACAUUUUUUUCACAUAUGAAAGUAAAUGGUCCCUUGAAACUAUGAAUCAUUACAGGAAUACACUAUUCUUUAUUGUUUCAUUUUGUAUAUCUCACUUUACACAGAAUAUUUUCAACAAACAUUUUUUUCCAUUUCUCUAGAAAGUUUUUUUUUAAUCUUCCUAUUCCUUUCUCUGUGAAGAUUAUGGUUCAAGAACCUAAAAUAUACUUUUAUUAAUCAGCACAAGGGUACGUUUUAGUUAUCUGCAAUAUUGUUGUAUGGGCCAGUAGAGUCAACUAAGAGCCAGUUUCUAAUGUGCCCAGGACAGUAAAAUAAUGGAAAAUCCAAAGCAAGAGAGUGUGAUGAUUAGAAAAUAACCUAAUAUCCUUGGAAGCUGACUCUUACUUUUCUUCUUCUUUUAAGAAGUGUAAGGCAGUUGUGACUUAAGGGUGGUUCUCACUGCAAACUGACAGAGUCCCUUAUAGUGAGGUAAUGGGAUAACAUUUUAUUUCACCAAGAUGCAGCCCUCUAUGCCCACUCUCACGAUUUCCCCCAUGGUAACAAGGAAGAAUCCCUGAUUGUGAGGAAUGGCACAGCUCAGUCCCUUGGAGCUCUGCUCAGAAAGGAGGUUUGGGAAGCUUGACAGAAACUGGGAUUAGAGUCCCCCUUAAAUUCAAAGUUCAGCUUUGGUGUGUGAACUCUGCAAUUUGUCUUAACCUUUUUGGAGCCUUGAUUUUCUAAAUAAAGCAAUUCACUCGAGGUGACACUGUCAUUGCUAGUGGGCAGAGGCAUCCAUUGUGGAACUUCAGGCUAUCUGACUGUAAGCCUGUACUAAUUUAGCUUUUGAUUUAUUGGUGAAAAUGCAUGUCUCACAUAUAAAGAACUCGGCUGGCAUAGACACUGACUUCACCUGCUUCCUUCUGAAAUGUUUCUCAAAGGCUGGCUCCUUCUCAUGUCUUACUAAGACAGCUAUACCUGGAGUGCAUGGUUCUGACCUCCAGCACUUGUGGCUGUGUCCUCUCUGUACGUGACUUCUCUAUUUACGUGACCCAGGUUGUGCUGUUGCUGUAUGUUGGCUGAUGCAAGAAUCCAAGGAGGGAAAGAGUCUCCUGAAGUUAGGGUGUCAGAGCCUCAAAGAUGGUGGGCCUAUGAAAAACAGGACUGUGCCCUGAGACCUUCUGCUCUCUUCUAAUGUUAGCAUAAUUUUUUAAAUUAUUUAUUUAUUUAUUUAUUUAUUUAUUUAUUUAUUUAUUUAUUUAUUUAUUUAUUUAUUUUUAAUCAAUGAUUGAAACUUCUUCUAAAGACUUGGGUGCCUCCUCCUUUCCUCACCAUGAGAAAAUUCUCUGCUCUGCAUUGCUAUUGCUGGGUCACCUCAUCAGGUACUUGAUUCCUCUUGGAUAUCAACAGAAAGUAGUUUUGUAUUCAAUUGAUUCUACUAUUGGUGAAGGGAGUGGCUAUGCCCAGUUUUCCCUAUUAGAUACUCAACAGCUGGCACGGGGCUCAGUUCUUGGAGGCUACUCAGCUGAUGUUUACUUUGAGGAAAUAAGUCUUCUAGUUUGCUUUUAGUUGCUGUUAUAAACAUCAUAAGCAAAAGCAAUUUGAGUGGAAAGGGUUUAUUUCUGAUUACAAGUUACAGUCUGUCAGCCAAGGCCAGCACUCAAGGUAGGAACCUGGGGGCAGGAACUGAGGCAAGGACAUGGAGGAAAUCUGUUUACUAGUUUUCUCCUCUGGCUUGCUCAACAACCCUGCCUGUACAGCCCAGGCCCACCUGUCUAAGGAUGGCACACCCUCCCCCUGGAGUGGGCUAAGCCCCCCUACAUCAAUUAGCAGUUAAGAAGGUGCCUUACUGACUUGCCCAUAGGCAAAUCUGAGGGAGGCAAUUCAUUAGUUGAGGGUCCCUCUUCACAGGUGUUCCUAAUUGACAACUAAAGCUAAUGAUAUGACAAAUCUUUCUAUAACUGAAGGCUCAAGUAUCUGUAUUAGUCUUUCUAAAGUCAGUAACCUCAUGUGAUACACAACAUUUUUCUAGAUGCUUAGCGCAUUCAUAUAUAAAACUUUCUGGUGAAUUCACUAGAAAAUGUGUAUUUUUAGUCUUAGAAUGUUAGGUGAUAUUUAUGAUUUUUUUUCCCUAAGGACACGGGAAACACGUAUUUUCUAAAGUUUACUUUUAAACUUUAUAUAUUUUUAGAACAGCUCACAGGAGAAAAACCAUUAUAAAAAGUAUUAGAUUGGAGUUGAUGGAAAUGAAAGAAGGGAGUAGGAAAAUGUCUCCGUCUUUUAAAGGAAAAGGAUCCACAUAAAUUAUUUGAAAUUCUGCCUGGAAGAUUUGUCUCUCAUCCCCAGCCUGGAAAUUCGUUCAGCCCUUUAUCCUUCUUAUCAGAAUUCAGAAUGAUGAUAGAAAUCACUGCGUUGGUUCAUUUCCUCCCUAUUCCCAGCAGUCACAGUAUGGAACCUAUCAGUGUGUCCACCAACAGACAAAUGGGUAAAGAAAAUGCAGUUCAUACACACCAUGGAAAAAAGAAUGAAGUUAUGACAUUCCCAGGAAAAAUAGAUGGAACUAGCCAUCAUUUAUUAAGCAGAAUAAGCUAGACUCAAGAAAACAAAAAUAAUGCUUUAUUGUAUUUAUAGUGUGUGUGUGUGUGUGUGUGUGUGUGUGUGUGUGUGUAACAAAAGGAGGGUCACAUUGCAUUCAAGCCAAGAAGGAGAGAGAGAGAGAGAAAUAAUGCUGCUCAGCUUACAUCCUUCUUUUUAUUCAGACCUUGACACAGCCUAUGAAUGAUGUCUCCCACAUUCAGGAUAUCCAGCCUAUGAAUGAUGCCGCCCACAUUCAGGAUAGAAAGCAGUACACAGAGGGUUAGAGCUUCACGGUGAUUUGAAGAUAAAGACAUUUUCACUGAUAACAGAAUUAUUUGCCAAAAAAGGGUGCAAAGGAAAAUCUCUUUUCUUCCUUCACUCGUCAACCCUAACAGAAGAUGUUCAAACUCUUCAGGUUGUCUGAAUAUGGCUCAAAUGCUUGUAGAUUUGCCCUAUGGGAGCAUCAGCUGCAGAGUUGCCUUAUGGGAGUAUCAGCAGAACAUCACAGCAUGGGAAACACAGGAAGAUGUAAACACUAAGAUCACGGGAAAGGGGAGCCACACUUUCUACAGCAAAGGAUGCUAUCAGAAAUCAAAAAGUGACCUCCAGGGUUCCUAUUACAGAGCAAGAACCCAUGAAGAUGCAGACUCUAAGAUACACUCAGAACUCCACCAACACAGCAGGCAAAAACCAAGGACAAGAUUAAUGAUGGGCUAUGGACUUGGAUAAACCUUUCUCUCUGGACGUCAUGGAAAUAGUCAAAGAAACCUGAAAGCAUGCUUGCAUCACUAGUCAUCAGGGAGAUGCAAGUCGGCCCCACCUCACAUGGCUAUUGUGAAAAUAAAAGGUGAGUGUACAUGUUUGUGAGGAAGUGGAGAAACUGGAAUCCUAGCAUACUUGAUGAAAAUGUAAAACAAUUUAGCCAGUGUGAAAAACCAUGCAAGUUAUUAAAAUACUUUAAAGUACUAUGUAAAUCACCAAUCCUACUUUGGUGUUUUUAUCCUAUUGAUUCAAAUCAGGGCUUUGAAAGGAUGUUAGGGGGAAGGGAGACUCCUCUCAAGCUUGGUGACCUGAGUUGGAUCACUGGGACCUGCAUGGUAGAAGGAGAAAACUAACUCCGGCAAGUUGUCCUCUGGCUUCCUCAUGCAUACUUGGCACACUUGUGCCCCACACCCAAUGAAGAAAUGUAGUUUUAAAAUUACAAAAAGAAAGAAAAGAUGGUAAUAGUCUCCUGCUUGUUUAGGAUACUGAAGCAGCUGAGCCAUUGAGACAACCCGAGUGUCGAUGAACAGAUGGCUGGAGAAACCAAGGUGUAGCAAGUGUGUAUGAUGGAAUAGGAUUAAAAUUCAGAAGAACAAGUAAAUUCUUCAAUGUACAGCAACAUGAAUGAACUUUGUGGGAAUUAUGUUAAGUGAAAAAAAACCACCACCACCCCCCAAAAAAGAAGAGAGAUUUUCAAGAGCAGAAUAGAGGGGUGCUCGGGACUGUAGAAUGGAACAUUAGGGGGAUUCUCAACCAUCGCUAAGUUUUCAGUUGAGCAAGACAGAUUCAACUCUAGAGAUUUGCUGCACAAACUGUACAAAUAGUUAACAAUAAUAUUGUUAGCAUAAAAAGUCAUUAAGAGUCUAGAUCUCAUGUUGAAUGUUUUACCACAAUGAAAUAAAAUGGAAAAAUAAAAUGCUUGGUUUUGCCCUUA